rnacentral:rRNA from 2 species
ACCGGUGGCGAAGGCGGCCCCCUGGACAAAGACUGACGCUCAGGUGCGAAAGCGUGGGGAGCAAACAGGAUUAGAUACCCUGGUAGUCCACGCCGUAAACGAUGUCUACUUGGAGGUUGUGCCCUUGAGGCGUGGCUUCCGGAGCUAACGCGUUAAGUAGACCGCCUGGGGAGUACGGCCGCAAGGUUAAAACUCAAAUGAAUUGACGGGGGCCCGCACAAGCGGUGGAGCAUGUGGUUUAAUUCGAUGCAACGCGAAGAACCUUACCUGGUCUUGACAUCCACAGAACUUUCCAGAGAUGGAUUGGUGCCUUCGGGAACUGUGAGACAGGUGCUGCAUGGCUGUCGUCAGCUCGUGUUGUGAAAUGUUGGGUUAAGUCCCGCAACGAGCGCAAC